GCCGGAAUAGCUCAGUUGGUAGAGCGUCUGAUUCGUAAUCAGAAGGCCAGGUGUUCGAUUCACCUUUUUGGCA
rnacentral:tRNA from 1 species